UAAUUAGUUUAUUUCUCCGGCUUGUGAAUAUCGGGGCAUGACAGACCCAUCCAUCUUUUUAGGCGGUUUUGAGUUGAAAUGUAUUUACUUCCUCUCAACUCCUUGGAAAACUAUGAUACAGAGGCUGAUGUCUGGAGUAUAAGUCUUAUAGGGCUAAGUUUCCUUAAGUUUGUCAAGUUAUACUGGUUUGUGAACCAAUAAGUGUUAGUUACUAGAAAUUGUGAUGCUAUGAAUAAAGUGAAGUCAGAUAUAAAAAUAAUAAUAAUAACUUUGGGUAAAAAUCAAAGUGAGCCUCGUUAUGUGAGUUGGGGGUUAUGAAUUGUAGCUUUAAAUAGGGAGAAUGGUGUGUAUUGUAGUAGCCAAAUACUCAAUAAUUAUUAUUAGGGGUGGAUUCAGAAUUUUAGGCUGGGCGCUAAAAUCUUAAAUAUAAAUAAUAUAAAAUAAAUAUAUAUUUUAAGGGGCUAAAGUAUAAAAAAAUUAAAAAACUAAAAUAAAUUUUAUAAUUUUUUUAAAAUGAUGGGAUUAUAACCCCUGCUAGUCACUAACUGUCACCGCCACUUAUUACCACUGUCAUUCUAAUUUAAGCUUAACUAGGAUCAAAAGGACCUUAAAUCAUUCCUGGCAAUAAAGCCUAGAAAAUUUCAAUUCCUUGAAUUUAAAGUGAGACUAUUUAUGGUGGUAUACUACUAGCUUGUAAAGUUGUAAGGGUAUAGAACAAAUGUGUAAAUGAGAGGUAAAAAAGAAAAAUAGGGGAAAUUACAUCAUAAACCCAAAGUUUGAUAUUAUUCUCAUAUUAAACACUGGUGUUUCAAUUGUAUCAAUUUAUACUCUAUAGUCUCCAGCAAGUUCCAACGUAAACCCUCCAUCAAACUCCAUCGUCAAGAGGGGCUUCUCUGGAACAGAGUUCCGGAAUUUUCAUGAUCGGAUCCCCCAACGUCAGGCAAAAACAUCAAUGUAACUCGACUAAUUAACAAUUAUUUGACAAUCUUACCCUUUUGAUUCUUCUUUUUCUAGUCUCGACGUUGUUGUUCUUUUCCAUCUUCUCUCUCUACAAACCAUUUCUCUAUCCCUCUUUCAUAAAGUUCCGAGUUUGAUCUACUGAUUUUAUGUUCUAAAUUUUCAAUGAAAGUUAACGGGAAUAAAGGAAAAAAUUGGGGAUGGCCAUAGUAAUAUCUCAUUUGGCUAGUUAUUUAAACAAGUAUUCGCAUCGUGCUAUGCACGGGUAAACAAGUAUUAUUUAAUUAAUUUUAAUAUAAAUUCAUACUUUAAUUUACUUUUUAUAACUUUAUUUUAAUAUGCCUAACUUAUUAUUUGUUUUGUUCGUAUGACAAAAGAUUGGAUAAAUGAGAAGAAAAUAACUACUUAUAUUUUAUUUUAAAAAAAAUUGUGUGUUCAUUGGUAAUGUAGCUGAAAUAAAAAUAAUAUAAAACUAAUUAUUAAUUUGAUUAAUUGGGUAGUUCAAAUUUACAGAUAUGGAGAAAAUGCUUAUUUGGCUAGGGAUUUGAAUAUACGUUAUAUGUGUUAAUUCUUUCUUUCUUUCUAUUUGUACUUUUUAUUUGACAUUAUUUCCUUAAAACAUUUUUUCUCUUAAGAAAACUUAAAUCUUGUAGGUCCUUCUUUCUAUUUUUGUUAUUUAACAUUACUUUUUCUAGAGGGCUUUUUUAGAAAAUUUUAAUUUAUAGUUUAUUUUAGUAAAAUAACUAAAAACAAAUGAGGAAAAAAGUUUUAUUAAGAAAAUGCCGUGUAAGGGAGAGAAACAAUGAGAAGGCCUCUUCUUAUUUUAGAAAAUUGCAUUUAUAUAAUAUAGGCCUCGUUUGUUUGUCGAACUGGACAAGGAAUCCCCAGACUAACAAUCUCCGGAUUACUUGGCCUUGGAUAUAUUGUCCGACUUAAUCCAACAACGCCUCGUUUGUUUUGCUCUGAACAAAACUCCGAAUCACACUGUGUCGAGUCAACUCAAUAGUGAGUCAGCGAGUCAACUCAAAAAAACAAUUGACUCCAAUUGAGCACCAAGAACUCCAAUUGCGCACAAUCGAACACUAGUCAAACAAUUGAACACAAAUCGAGCACAAUCGAACUCCAAUCGCGCACAAUCGACACCAAUCGAGUACAAGUCAAAUAAUCGAGCACAAAUUGAGCACCAAUUGACACCAAUCGAGCACCAGUCAGAUAAUCGAGCACAAAUUGAGCACAAUUAAACUCCAAUCGCGCACAAUCGAUACCAAUCGAGGUUCGAAGUGGUGCAAUCGUUCAAAUCGAAUUCAAUUAAGGGCUCAGACAGGAGAGAGAGAGGGGGGGUGUCGUCGAGGUCGGCGUUGAGGUCGGCGUCAUCGUCGUUGUCGAGGUUGAAUAGGAGAGAGAGGGUUCGUGGGUGAGAGAGUCUCUGAGAGAGAGGCUUAGUCCAGGGACUAAUAGUCACCCCCUCACCCCCGGGACAGAAUAGUCUCAUGUACACGUGACUCUUAGUCCGUUCGAACUAUUUGUCCGAAGUUAUUUUCUA
rnacentral:lncRNA from 1 species